AGCUCCAAUAGCGUAUAUUAAAGUUGUUGCGGUUAAAAAGCUCGUAGUUGGAUUUCUGUCGAGGGCGAUCGGUCCGUACUAUGUGCGUGUAUCUGUUAUCCCUUGGCAUCCUCUUGGGGAACGUUUCUGUGAUUCAUUUCAUGGGGCGGAAUUCAAGACUUUUACUUUGAGGAAAUUAGAGUGUUCACGGCAAGCUAUCGCUUUGAAUACAUUAGCAUGGAAUAAUAAUAUAGGGCGUAAGUCUUAUUUUGUUGGUUUCUAGGACAUACGCAAUGAUUAAUAGGGAUAAUUGGGGGCAUUCGUAUUGACGCGUCAGAGGUGGAAUUCUUAGAUUGCGUCACGACGAACUACUGCGAAAGCAUUUGCCAAGGAUGUUU
rnacentral:rRNA from 1 species